AACGAACGCUGGCGGCGUGCUUAACACAUGCAAGUCGAACGGCAAGGCCCUGCUUGCUGGGUACUCGAGUGGCCAACGGGCGGGUAACACGUGGGUGCACCGCCCUGCACUUUGGGGUAGGCCUGAGCAACGGGGACCAUACCCGGAUAGGGGAUACUUCUUGCGGGUGGGAUGGAAAGUUUUUUGGGUGUAGGGUGAGCUGGCGGCCUAUCGGCGGGUUGGCGGGGUAAUGGCUUACAAGGGCGCCGACGCGUCGCUGGCCUGUGGGGCUGGGCGGCGGCAUUGGGACUGAGAGACGGCCCAGGCUCCUACUGGUGGCAGCAGGGGGGAAUAUUGCACAAUGGGCACAAGGCGGAUGCAGCGGCGCCGCGUGGGGGAUGACGGCCUUCUGGGUGUAGACUCGUAGCGCGUUGGACGAAGGUUUUUGUGACGGUACCUAGAGAAGAAGCACCGGCUAACUACGUG
rnacentral:rRNA from 1 species